GAGACCCAUUUCCACUGUUGCUAACACGCCCUAACGGGUGGUGAGUACACUGUGGAGACCGCUGGCGCUAAGUCAGAGGAAGGAUUGGUCGACGGUAGGUCAGUAUGCCCCGAAUAUCCCGGGCUACACGCGGGCUACAAUGGAUAUGACAAUGGGUAACUACACCGAAAGGUGGCGUCAAUCUCUUAAACAUAUCCUUAGUUCGGAUCGAGGGCUGGAACUCGCCCUCGUGAGGAUGGAAUCCGUAGUAAUCGCAUUUCAAAACAGUGCGGUGAAUAC
rnacentral:rRNA from 1 species